GAGUUUGAUCCUGGCUCAGAUUGAACGCUGGCGGAAUGCUUUACACAUGCAAGUCGAGCGGCAGCGCGGGGCAACCUGGCGGCGAGCGGCGAACGGGUGAGUAAUGCAUCGGAACAUGUCCUGUCGUGGGGGAUAGCCCGGCGAAAAGCCGGAUUAAUACCGCAUACGUCCGAGAGGAGAAAGUGGGGGACCGCAAGGCCUCACGCGAUUGGGUUGGCCGAUGUCCGAUUAGCUAGUUGGUGGGGUAAAGGCCCACCAAGGCGAUGAUCGGUAGCUGGUCUGAGAGGAUGAUCAGCCACACUGGGACUGAGACACGGCCCAGACUCCUACGGGAGGCAGCAGUGGGGAAUUUUGGACAAUGGGGGCAACCCUGAUCCAGCCAUUCCGCGUGAGUGAAGAAGGCCUUCGGUU
rnacentral:rRNA from 1 species